CCAUGGACACUAAUAUGACAACAUAUCGUGAUGUAAGAACAGGUGUGGGACUUGAUAAAACUGGCGGAUUAUAUCUAACAGAGAAGGAAGAUAUUGACUCGUCAAGGAUAGAAUUACUGGUGAAUCACUUGGAGAAUCGUGGUUGCAAAUUUUGAAACAUUAUAGAGCAUGAUGGAUGUUGUCAAUAACAUACUUGUUUCUGGAAAUGGGUUGGGCUUUCGAAAUGGAGUUCAGCAACUUCCAGAAGUUGCUGUUGGCAUACCCAAUGGGAUGCCUCAUGCAAGUUCCAGUAAUGAAGAACUAGAGAGGAGUUUCCAGAGCACUGUCGUAUUGACUGAUAGUGAAACAGUUGGAUCUUUUGUCCAAGAGGUCAAUAAUGAAACUACAAUUACUGUAGAAAGCAAUGUUGGUGUCAGUUCCGAGGUAAGGGAGAUUUUCCUGAGUUGUUACUUACUAAGGACAAGCCUUGGAUUGAGGCUAAUGCGAGGAGGAAAAUCUUGAUAUAGAUUAGAUAUUAGGAAGAGUGCUAAUGAAACCUUUAAUGGGCUCGAUUUAUUGCUAGUGCUAAUGGUCUUCUUGCCAAAACAUUGUAUUGUGUAUAUAGGUGAAAUAUCAUUUUAUUUGUACACUUGUUGAAUCCCCUGCACACUAGCUAGAUAGCAUGAAAAUCCUUGCUCCACCACUAUAGUCUUAUUCUUUCCUUAUGGUCAAUUAUGAAAUUAUAUUGGUACAUGAUAAUACUUUCUGCAAUUGCAGACAUUGAACUACCAGUUGUUGAAAUAUAUUUCGGUAUUAUAUAUAUUGUCUUUAUCCCUGAUUUUUAUUAUUUUCAG